UAGCAUAUGGAUUUAAUUAUUUAUUUAAAUAUUUUUUUUUGUCUUCUUCCCCGGGGGGUUGGUUGUGUAACUGCUGCAAUGGUAUUUGUAUUUAAUUAUUUAUUUAUUAUUUUAAAUGAUUGUGGCUUAGGGGGCCUGGGUUGGUUGUGUUAGUGCUGCAAUGGUAUUUGGAUUUAAUUAUUUAUUAUUUUAAAUGCUUAUUUUAAAUGUUUAUUAUUUUAAAAUGAUAUUGAGGAGAGUGCUUAUGAGUGUGUAUUAUUUUAAAAAUGAUAUUGAUGAGAGUGCUUAUGAGCGUGUGUUAUUUGAAUAAGUUAUUAUUAUUAUUAUUUUGUGGUGCGCGGGCGGGAGUGAGCGGGGGGGUGGGUUACCUGAUGGAGCGCGAGCGUACGGUGUGCGGUAGCGUGGUAAGGUCCCCGGGCUUCGGAGAAUCAGCAAAGGACUUAUUCACAUACUGGUGCGGUAGCGCGGAAAGGUCCGCACGGCUUUGGAUAAUCCUCGGAGAGAGCGAUGCGGGAGAGCUGAGAGGCGUGCUGCUGCGCGAGUCUGAGAGAAACUGUGAGAGACUGUGGGAUAAAAUGGUAAAGUUGGAGCAAAGAAUGAGAGGAGGAGGUGCAGGGUCUAUCGUCCAAUAAAAACGCUCGGCGCUAGUUUUGACCGUGUGUUUUUUCCUCACGCAAGCGUUUGUAUCACAUCGGCGUAUGGCGCCAAUUUGUAAAGGUCAUAAGUCGAGACAUACAUCGAGUCUGUCAAUUUGUCCGCCAGUAAAUUCUGCAGGGCCGUGCCACCUGGCCAUCGAGGCGCCCCCCUACCCGGCCACGCGGGCCAUACAUCGAGUCUGACACUUUUGCCCUCCAGUAAAUUCUGUUUAAAGUUUUGUUUUCACAUACGUCCCAAAUUACAGAUAAUUUUCUUACACAGGCACGAGUAGCAUCAUCAAGGCCGUACCACCUGGUCAUACAUCAAGUCUGACAAUUUCCCCGCCAGUAAAUUCUGUUUAUAGUUUUGUUUGUCAUACAUGACCGUGCAGAUAUGGGGUGACAGAGACAAUUAAAUUGUAUUGCGGCGAGCGGGGGGGCCUAUUCCUCCUAGGGCAGAGGCACAAGUAUCUUCGAGGUCUUACCCUUCCUGCCAGCCAAAGAGGUUCAUCCAGGCCUUACCCGAGAGAGAGACUGCGCUGACCGGUCAAGAGAAAAUCUACAAGAGACCUGAAUCAGCAGUGUUAUAAAGCACAUAGCCAACGCUAAUUAAUAAAGAAUUUAAGCAUAAUAGCCCAGACGUACCAUGGCCUAUAGCUGGUAGAAACGGAGCUAUCCUACGGCCUACAAGAUAAAAGCAUAUGGCACCAAAUUGGAAUCAGUAGUCUUUAAAAGAAUAAAUGGACUAGCAACUGUCUCUGGGGGAGCAGCCCCGGUUAGGUACUAUUAAGCAGCAUAGCAACUGUCUCUGGGGGAGCAGCCCCGGUUAGGUACUAUUAAGCAGCAUUUAGUGACAUGCAUCAAAACACAUUUUUUAAAACUUUGACAGAAUAAAGUCUUAGUUAUUUUAAUAAA